rnacentral:rRNA from 1 species
AGUGAACGCUGGCGGUAGGCCUAACACAUGCAAGUCGAACGGCAGCACAGUAAGAGCUUGCUCUUACGGGUGGCGAGUGGCGGACGGGUGAGGAAUACAUCGGAAUCUACUUUUUCGUGGGGGAUAACGUAGGGAAACUUACGCUAAUACCGCAUACGACCUACGGGUGAAAGCAGGGGAUCUUCGGACCUUGCGCGAUUGAAUGAGCCGAUGUCGGAUUAGCUAGUUGGCGGGGUAAAGGCCCACCAAGGCGACGAUCCGUAGCUGGUCUGAGAGGAUGAGGAGCCAAAGUGGGAGGAAGACACGGCCAGGGCUCCAACGGGGGGCAGAAGAGGGGAAUGUUGGGAAAUGGGCGGAAGCCUGAUACAGCCAUACCGCGUGGAUGAAGAAGGCGUUCGGGUUGAAAAGCCCUUUUGUAGGGAAAGAAAAGCAGCAGGAUAGUACCCCGCUGUGCUGACGGUACCCAAAGAAUAAGCAACGGCUAACUUCGUG